UACGUAGGGGGCAAGCGUUGUCCGGAAUCAUUGGGCGUAAAGAGCGUGUAGGCGGCUCGAUAAGUCCGCUGUGAAAGUCCAGGGCUCAACCCUGGAAGGCCGGUGGAAACUGUCGGGCUAGAGUCCGGAAGAGGCGAGUGGAAUUCCCGGUGUAGCGGUGAAAUGCGCAGAUAUCAGGAAGAACACCUAUGGCGAAGGCAGCUCUCUGGGACGGUACUGACGCUGAGACGCGAAAAGCGUGGGGAGCGAACAGG
rnacentral:rRNA from 1 species